rnacentral:rRNA from 1 species
GUGGGGAAUAUUGGACAAUGGGCGAAAGCCUGAUCCAGCAACGCCGCGUGAGUGAUGAAGGUCUUCGGAUCGUAAAGCUCUGUCGGCAGGAAAGAUGGGUGCUUCGGCGAAUAGCCGGCGCACCUGACGGUACCUGCAAAGGAAGCACCGGCUAACUCUGUGCCAGCAGCCGCGGUAAGACAGAGGGUGCAAGCGUUGUUCGGAAUCACUGGGCGUAAAGCGCGCGUAGGCGGCUUGGCAAGUCGGAUGUGAAAGCCCAUGGCUUAACCAUGGAAGUGCAUCCGAAACUGCCUGGCUUGAGUCCCGGAGAGGGUGGUGGAAUUCCCAGUGUAGAGGUGAAAUUCGUAGAUAUUGGGAGGAACACCGGUGGCGAAGGCGGCCACCUGGACGGAGACUGACGCUGAGGUGCGAAAGCGUGGGGAGCAAACAGGAUUAGAAACCCCAGUAGUCC